CAGCCGCCGCGGUAAUACGAAGGGGGCUAGCGUUGUUCGGAAUUACUGGGCGUAAAGCGCACGUAGGCGGAUAUUUAAGUCAGGGGUGAAAUCCCGCAGCUCAACUGCGGAACUGCCUUUGAUACUGGGUAUCUUGAGUAUGGAAGAGGUAAGUGGAAUUGCGAGUGUAGAGGUGAAAUUUGUAGAUAUUCGCAGGAACACCAGUGGCGAAGGCGGCUAACUGGUCCAUAACUGACGCUGAGGUGCGAAAGCGUGGGGAGCAAACAGGAUUAGAUACCCCGGUAGUCCCUGUCUCUUAUAC
rnacentral:rRNA from 1 species